GACGAACGCUGGCGGCGUGCUUAACACAUGCAAGUCGAACGAUGAAGCGGGUGCUUGCACUCGUGGAUUAGUGGCGAACGGGCGAGUAACACGUGAGUAACCUGUCCUUUUCUUUGGGAUAACGGCUGGAAACGGCUGCUAAUACUGGAUAUUCAGGCUGCAUCGCAUGGUGUGGUUUGGAAAGGUUUUUUCUGGGAUUGGGUGGGCUCGCGGCCUAUCAGCUUGUUGGUGGGGUGAUGGCUUACCAAGGCUUUGACGGGUAGCCGGCCUGAGAGGGUGGUCGGUCGCACUGGGACUGAGAUACGGCCCAGACUCCUACGGGAGGCAGCAGUGGGGAAUAUUGCACAAUGGACGAAAGUUUGAUGCAGCGACGCCGCGUGGAGGGUGUAGGCCUGCGGGUUGUGAACUCCUUUGUCUCGCGAAAAAGGCACAGUUUUGGCUGUGUUGAUGGUAGUGGGGGAAGAAGCGCCGGCUAACUACGUG
rnacentral:rRNA from 1 species